GGAACGUUGAAGACGACGACGUUGAUAGGUCGGGUGUGUAAGCGCAGCGAUGCGUUGAGCUAACCGAUACUAAUGAACCGUGAGGCUUAACCUUACAACGCCGAAGC
rnacentral:rRNA from 2 species